UACGUAGGUGGCAAGCGUUUGUUCGGAAUUAUUGGGGCGUAAAGGGCGCGUAGGCGGUUUGCUAAGUCAGUUGUGAAAUCCCGGGGCUCAACCCCGGAACUGCCUUUGAUACUGGUAGUCUUGAGUUCGAGAGAGGUGAGUGGAAUUCCGAGUGUAGAGGUGAAAUUCGUAGAUAUUCGGAGGAACACCAGUGGCGAAGGCGGCUCACUGGCUCGAUACUGACGCUGAGGUGCGAAAAGCGUGGGGGAGCAAACAGG
rnacentral:rRNA from 1 species